GUUCACUACUCACUUGACCCAGAAAACCCUACACAAUCAUGAAAUCAAGAGGUUUAAAUCUUCAUGUUCACUUUACAAACACUUGUGACAUUACCCAGGCCAUCGAGGUUGCAUAUAUGAAAAGCCACCAGGUAACUGAAAGAUGUCACUUUACAGAAAUGGUAUCAUUCUGAUGUUACAAUGGUAGAGUCGGUAGGUGUGCCCAGGCCAAACAGUGGGGCUGGACACAGGUGAACUUUUGCUGCACGUGCUUAAAAAUGGUGAAAGUCACGCUGAACUUAAGGGUUUCCAUGUAGAUUCUCUGGCCAUUGAGCAUUUCGAGGUAAAUAAAGCACCUAAGAUGCACCGUCGGACUUACAGAGCUCAUGGCUGGACUAACCCAUACGUGGGCUCUCCCAGCCACAUCGAGAUGAUUCUUACUGAAAAGGAACAAAUUGUUCCUAAAUCAGAAGAAGAGGUUGCACCGAAGAAAAAGAUACCUGAGAAGAAACUGAAGAAAUAAAAACUUACGGCACAGGAA
rnacentral:lncRNA from 1 species